rnacentral:rRNA from 1 species
CAAUAGCGUAUAUUGAAGUUGUUGCGGUUAAUAAGCUCGUCGUUGGAUUUCUGUUGAGGUCGAACAGUGCCGCCCUAUGGGUGCGCAACUGGCUCGGCUUCGGCAUCUUCUUGGAGAGCGCAUCUGCACUUAACUGUGUGGAUCGUACUUCAAGUCAGUUACUUUGAGGAAUUGCGAGUGUUUCAAGCAGGCUUACGCCGUUGAAUCCGUUAGCAUGGAAUAAUAGGAUAGGACCUCGGUUCUAUUUUGUUGGUUUUGAGAGCUGGGGCAGCGAUUGAUAGGGACGGAUGGGGGCGUCCGAACUUUACUGUCAGAGGUGAAAUUCUUAGAUCGGUCAAAGGCGAACUACUGCGAACGCAUUCGCCAAGAAUGUUUUCUUUAA